rnacentral:rRNA from 1 species
AAUGGGUCAGCGACUUAUAUUCUGUAGCAAGGUUAACCGAAUAGGGGAGCCGAAGGGAAACCGAGUCUUAACUGGGCGUUAAGUUGCAGGGUAUAGACCCGAAACCCGGUGAUCUAGCCAUGGGCAGGUUGAAGGUUGGGUAACACUAACUGGAGGACCGAACCGACUAAUGUUGAAAAAUUAGCGGAUGACUUGUGGCUGGGGGUGAAAGGCCAAUCAAACCGGGAGAUAGCUGGUUCUCCCCGAAAGCUAUUUAGGUAGCGCCUCGUGAAUUCAUCUCCGGGGGUAGAGCACUGUUUCGGCAAGGGGGUCAUCCCGACUUACCAACCCGAUGCAAACUGCGAAUACCGGAGAAUGUUAUCACGGGAGACACACGGCGGGUGCUAACGUCCGUCGUGAAGAGGGAAACAACCCAGACCGCCAGCUAAGGUCCCAAAGUCAUGGUUAAGUGGGAAACGAUGUGGGAAGGCCCAGACAGCCAGGAUGUUGGCUUAGAAGCAGCCAUCAUUUAAAGAAAGCGUAAUAGCUCACUGGUCGAGUCGGCCUGCGCGGAAGAUGUAACGGGGCUAAACCAUGCACCGAAGCUGCGGCAGCGACACUAUGUGUUGUUGGGUAGGGGAGCGUUCUGUAAGCCUGUGAAGGUGUGCUGUGAGGCAUGCUGGAGGUAUCAGAAGUGCGAAUGCUGACAUAAGUAACGAUAAAGCGGGUGAAAAGCCCGCUCGCCGGAAGACCAAGGGUUCCUGUCCAACGUUAAUCGGGGCAGGGUGAGUCGACCCCUAAGGCGAGGCCGAAAGGCGUAGUCGAUGGGAAACAGGUUAAUAUUCCUGUACUUGGUGUUACUGCGAAGGGGGGACGGAGAAGGCUAUGUUGGCCGGGCGACGGUUGUCCCGGUUUAAGCGUGUAGGCUGGUUUUCCAGGCAAAUCCGGAAAAUCAAGGCUGAGGCGUGAUGACGAGGCACUACGGUGCUGAAGCAACAAAUGCCCUGCUUCCAGGAAAAGCCUCUAAGCAUCAGGUAACAUCAAAUCGUACCCCAAACCGACACAGGUGGUCAGGUAGAGAAUACCAAGGCGCUUGAGAGAACUCGGGUGAAGGAACUAGGCAAAAUGGUGCCGUAACUUCGGGAGAAGGCACGCUGAUAUGUAGGUGAAGUCCCUCGCGGAUGGAGCUGAAAUCAGUCGAAGAUACCAGCUGGCUGCAACUGUUUAUUAAAAACACAGCACUGUGCAAACACGAAAGUGGACGUAUACGGUGUGACGCCUGCCCGGUGCCGGAAGGUUAAUUGAUGGGGUUAGCGGUAACGCGAAGCUCUUGAUCGAAGCCCCGGUAAACGGCGGCCGUAACUAUAACGGUCCUAAGGUAGCGAAAUUCCUUGUCGGGUAAGUUCCGACCUGCACGAAUGGCGUAAUGAUGGCCAGGCUGUCUCCACCCGAGACUCAGUGAAAUUGAACUCGCUGUGAAGAUGCAGUGUACCCGCGGCAAGACGGAAAGACCCCGUGAACCUUUACUAUAGCUUGACACUGAACAUUGAGCCUUGAUGUGUAGGAUAGGUGGGAGGCUUUGAAGUGUGGACGCCAGUCUGCAUGGAGCCGACCUUGAAAUACCACCCUUUAAUGUUUGAUGUUCUAACGUUGGCCCCUGAUCGGGGUUGCGGACAGUGUCUGGUGGGUAGUUUGACUGGGGCGGUCUCCUCCUAAAGAGUAACGGAGGAGCACGAAGGUUGGCUAAUCCUGGUCGGACAUCAGGAGGUUAGUGCAAUGGCAUAAGCCAGCUUGACUGCGAGCGUGACGGCGCGAGCAGGUGCGAAAGCAGGUCAUAGUGAUCCGGUGGUUCUGAAUGGAAGGGCCAUCGCUCAACGGAUAAAAGGUACUCCGGGGAUAACAGGCUGAUACCGCCCAAGAGUUCAUAUCGACGGCGGUGUUUGGCACCUCGAUGUCGGCUCAUCACAUCCUGGGGCUGAAGUAGGUCCCAAGGGUAUGGCUGUUCGCCAUUUAAAGUGGUACGCGAGCUGGGUUUAGAACGUCGUGAGACAGUUCGGUCCCUAUCUGCCGUGGGCGCUGGAGAACUGAGGGGGGCUGCUCCUAGUACGAGAGGACCGGAGUGGACGCAUCACUGGUGUUCGGGUUGUCAUGCCAAUGGCACUGCCCGGUAGCUAAAUGCGGAAGAGAUAAGUGCUGAAAGCAUCUAAGCACGAAACUUGCCCCGAGAUGAGUUCUCCCUGACUCCUUGAGAGUCCUGAAGGAACGUUGAAGACGACGACGUUGAUAGGCCGGGUGUGUAAGCGCAGCGAUGCGUUGAGCUAACCGGUACUAAUGAACCGUGAGG